GACUUAGUCCUAACCUUACUGUUGGUUGUUGCUAGGAAUAUACAUGCAAGUAUCCGCGCCCCAGUGUAGAUGCCCUCGGUACCUGUCACUCAGGUCGGUAGGAGCGGGUAUCAGGCUCACACCUCCCCCGUAGCCCAAAACGCCUUGCACUUGCCACGCCCCCACGGGUACUCAGCAGUAGUUAAUAUUAAGCAAUGAGUGAAAACUUGACUUAGCCAUAGCAACUCAGGGUCGGUAAAUCUUGUGCCAGCCACCGCGGUCAUACAAGAGACCCAAGUCAACUUUAUAACGGCGUAAAGCGUGGUAAUAUGCUAUCAAAGUAACUAAGGUUAAAAAGCAACUGAGCCGUCACAAGCCCAAGAUGCUCAUAAGGCCACCCAAAAAAGAAGACCUUAGACUAAAGAUUAAUUAAAACCCACGAAAGCCAGGGCCCAAACUGGGAUUAGAUACCCCACUAUGCCUGGCCCUAAAUCUUGGUGCUUUAAUCUACUCAAGCAUCCGCCCGAGAACUACGAGCACAAACGCUUAAAACUCUAAGGACUUGGCGGUGCCCCAAACCCACCUAGAGGAGCCUGUUCUAUAAUCGAUGAUCCACGAUAUACCCGACCAUUUCUUGCCAGUCAGCCUAUAUACCGCCGUCGCCAGCCCACCCAUCUGAAGGUUCAACAGUGAGCGCAAUAGCCUAACCCGCUAGUAAGACAGGUCAAGGUAUAGCCUAUGGAAUGGAGGUAAUGGGCUACAUUUUCUAGUAUAGAACAUAACGGC
rnacentral:rRNA from 1 species